rnacentral:rRNA from 1 species
UCGAGAAUCUUUCACAAUGGGGGAAACCCUGAUGGAGCGACGCCGCGUGGAGGUUAAGGUCUUCGGAUUGUAAACUCCUGUCAUGCGAGAACAAAGCCCGCAAGGGUGUGAUAGUACCGCAAGAGGAAGAGACGGCUAACUCUGUGCCAGCAGCCGCGGUAAUACAGAGGUCUCAAGCGUUGUUCGGAAUUACUGGGCGUAAAGGGUGCGCAGGCCGCGCGGGCAGUCAAAUGUGUAAUUCAGAGGCUCAACCUCUGGACUGCGCUUGAUACUUCCGUGCUCGAACCUUGGAGAGGGAUCUGGAAUUCUCGGUGUAGCAGUGAAAUGCGUGGAUAUCGAGAAGAACACCUAGGGCGAAAGCAAGAUCCUGGACAAGUGUUGACGCUCAUGCACGAAGGCUAGGGGAGCGAACG